rnacentral:rRNA from 1 species
UGCCUAAGACAUGCAAGUCGAACGAAGUAGCCUGAUGAAGAUGGAGUGCUUGCACAAAGUCGGAUUCAGAUUUCUACUUAGUGGCAGACGGGUGAGUAACACGUGGGUAACCUACCUCAGAGACUGGGAUAACAAUUAGAAAUGAUUGCUAAUACCGGAUGAUUCAUAAUUAGAUAACUAGUUAUGCUAAAAGAAGCGUUUGCUUCACUUUUGAGAUGGGCUUGCGUUGUAUUAGUUAGUUGGUGGGGUAAUGGCCUACCAAGACAACGAUGCAUAUCCGAGCUGAGAGGCUGAUCGGACACACUGGGACUGAGACACGGCCCAGACUCCUACGGGAGACAGCAGUUAGGAAUAUUCGUCAAUGGGGGAAACCCUGAACGAGCAAUGCCGCGUGAAGUGAUGAAGGUCUUAUAGAUUGUAAAACUCUGUUGUAAAGAAAGAAACCUUAAGAUAGGAAAUGAUCUUAAGCUGACGGUACUUUACCAGAAAGCCCGGCUAACUACGUGCCAGCAGCGGC